GGCAGCACCAUUUCAGCCCCUUGCAGACCAGCAGGCGGUUCUGGGGUAGCGGUAGACCCAGAGAUCUUCAGGGGCUGCCAGGCCCCUACCCCAGCAAACCCUGCUGUCUCAAGGCACAGUGGAAAACCCCGUCCUUGACCCUGGAGCUUGAAAUUGUCUCAUGGUUCAUGCUUUUUCUGCCUGAAGGGUGCAUGCUUUGCCAGCAUUUCUAUAGCACGCAGAGAGCUGCAAAUUACAAAAGUUACUUUUCUCCAGUCAAUUUAAGCCAGCCUGGCACAAGUCCCUCAUUCUCCUUUGUCAGUGAGGCAAAGAGUCAGUUGUUCACCCAGCUUUGUCUUGCAGCAAGGCAGCCCUUUCUCUGCCCUUCCUCUCUUCCUCAGAAGUCCUGAUUGUGUCUUUCAUUUGACCCUGCUCUGAAGUGCAUGGAAAAUCUUUUCACCAUCCCCUUCUGCCCAAGUGAGGCCACUCCAGCAUAGAUACAAAUAGGGACAGGGAGGGAGGAAGUAAAUUGAACAGCUUGCAAUUGGCAGCUCAUUAGUUGGGUGUUAUUUUACUGCUAGGCAAAAACGAUCAAAAUAACACCCACAGGGAGGUCUCCAAAAGCCGAGGCACUGCAGGUUGCUACACCAGCCUGUGCGGGAGGGCAGGAUGUGGUCUGGUCACUGCCCUGGGCGCUCAGCAUCCUCCCCAGUGGGAGCUGUUAGAGGACAGUGCCCUGUGGGUCCUUGACAGACUAACUUAAUUCUUUCCGACUUUUAAAACCCAGUGGCUUUUCAGUGAGGCCCCUUGUAGACCUUGUUUCUUCCUGUCUGGAUUCCUCCACUUUUUAGUCCCUUAACUCAGCAACAUCCUCUAUCCACUUCCACUAAUCCCCACAGAUUAUCUCCUGAGAAACCCAGUGUGAAAUUCACUUCUACCUGGAAGUCUCACUCUUCUCACCUCAUCCAGCUCAGUUCCCCACAGGUUUGCUUUUCAGCACCCAGGUGUUCUGUUUGAUUUCUUUUGCAUGUGUUUAGCUGGGACUUUCAAAGGGUCUGAAAUCCUAUCUCUUAAUUUAACAUUCCCUGAAGCCAGAGUGUGGCUUUCCUCGCCCCCUAUAGUGCCUCUUUUAGUACCUCGCCCGCAGUUUUUAUUGACCAGGUCCCAUGAAGCCUUGCCAACCAAAUCCCAGGACAUCUGAAGGACAAACCCCAGAGUGGAUCCUUGGACCUGGUAGACCUGCUACCCUCCCCAGUCUCAGAAUUGGCAGGUCCCUUGAUGUCUCUCCCUGCAUGUAGACUAAGGGGUGUUCAUUGAGGUUAACAGGUUGAUUUUCUGUUUGUACUCCCUUAACUCAAAGGAAAGGCUUGGUGCAGAAGGACAACGCCUGGACAUAUGUCACACACUCAGCAUUUGUGAAGGAAGAAUGUCGUUUUGAACCAUCUCUUGAGCUCCCCCUUCCAACCAAAGAGUCCUUCAAGCCCAUGUCCUUCAGCACUCUGGGCAUCACAGUCUUCGUGAUCCACAGACCCCCAGUCCAGCAUCCAGCACCCUCCCUGCUUUACCUCUGCCUCUCAGGGAUGGGCAGGCAGAACUGCCUUGGAGUUAAUCCAAGAUUUCUACCUAAAAACCACUCAAAGCAUAUUAUCCUGAAGCUUUAUAAUUCAUACAGCAGAUAAUAAAAAUGUUGAAGGAGGACUUCUCUGGUGGGGACAUGGUUCAAUACCUGGUUUGGGAAGAUUCCACAUAUCUUGGAGCAGCUAAGCCUGUGCACCACAACUACUGAGCCCACAUGCUGCAGCUACUGAGGCCCAGGCACCUAGAUGCUCAGCAACAAGAGAAGCCAUCACAAGGAAAAGCCUGUGCGCCCAAUGAAAGUAGCCCCCGACUCGCCACAACUGUACAAAGCCUAUGAGCAGCAACAAAGACCCAGCGCAGCCAAAACCAAACAAACAUAAAAAAUGUUGGAGGGAUUUAAGUAGAUGAAUAUAACACAACUUCUACCCUCCUGGCAUUUCCUAGGCUGUUAUACUAUGCCAGUUGCCACCCAUGAUGUGAAGCCAUUAUUAGUACUUAGCUGGUUAGCAAGGCUUGAAAUGAGCUUCUCAUGCAGCUUCCUGAGGAGACCUCCUUGUUUGGUGAACCAGUAAGGCUAGUCCUUGUCGAACCCAGUUGCAUGCAAAUUUUGUCAAUUUUAUUCUUGACCUAUUUUCUCUCUAUAGCUUCUAGCUUCAGGAUAGCAAUCACAUCCCUUUGUCUUUAUAUUCAUUGACUUUCAAAACAGAUUUUAGCUGAUAAUCUGAAGAUGAUAUUAGGUCAUGGAACAGAUCCCUGCAUGUUAUCAUGAUUUCCUGAUAACUCAGAUCUGAAAUUCCCAUGCCUAAGGAUCCAGAGAAAUUAGGUCAGGUAGAAGAGGCCCAAGUCAGAGAAUUCUUAUCCCUUUUGAAAGAGAGAUCUUGCUUGCUUCAGCCUCUACAGCAAAAACUGCAUCUUAGGCAUCAAAUUAUCUGAGACAUGUUGCAAUAGAGGGGUUUAAU
ensembl:lncRNA